UACGUAGGGCGCAAGCGUUGUCCGGAAUUAUUGGGCGUAAAGAGCUCGUAGGUGGUGUGUCGCGUCUGCCGUGAAAGCCCGGGGCUUAACUCUGGGCGUGCAGUGGGUACGGGCAGACUAGAGUGCGGUAGGGGGAGACUGGAAUUCCUGGUGUAGCGGUGAAAUGCGCAGAUAUCAGGAGGAACACCGGUGGCGAAGGCGGGACUCUGGGCCGAUACUGACGCUGAGGAGCGAAAAGCGUGGGGGAGCAAACAGG
rnacentral:rRNA from 1 species